rnacentral:rRNA from 1 species
CACGUAGGGUGCAAGCGUUGUCCGGAAUUAUUGGGCGUAAAGAGCUCGUAGGCGGCUUGUCGCGUCGACUGUGAAAACCUAGGGCUCAACCCUGGGCCUGCAGUCGAUACGGGCAGGCUUGAGUGUGGUAGGGGAGACUGGAACACCUGGUGUAGCGGUGAAAUGCGCAGAUAUCAGGUAGAACACCGGUGGCGAAGGCGGGUCUCUGGGCCAUUACUGACGCUGAGGAGCGAAAGCGUGGGGAGCGAACAGGAUUAGAUACCCUGGUAGUCCACGCCGUAAACGUUGGGCGCUAGGUGUGGGGACCUUUCCACGGUCUCCGUGCCGCAGCUAACGCAUUAAGCGCCCCGCCUGGGGAGUACGGCCGCAAGGCUAAA